GGAAGUAAAAGUCGUAACAAGUUUCCGUAGGUGAACCUGCGGAAGGAUCAUUAUUGUAUAACCGAGGUGCGAGGGCUGUCGCUGACCCGAAAGGUCGUGCACGCCCGAGUGCCCUCACACACAUCCAUCUCACCCCUAUGUGCACCACCGCGUGGGUCCCCCUUUGGCUUGUUCGGAGGGGGGCUUACGUUUUCACACAAACUUUGUAUGCAGUGUAGAAUGUAUUUUUUGUUUUUGCGAUCACGCAAUCAAUACAACUUUCAACAACGGAUCUCUUGGCUCUC
rnacentral:misc_RNA from 1 species